GGGGGCAGGGGCAGCUGCUGCCUUCCCGGGAAGCUGGAGUAGAAGCAAAGGAGCUGGGCCUGGAACCGGCACUCCAGACAGUGGCUUAACCUGCUGCAGCUCAUGCUCAACCCUCUAGAUGUCCAAAAGUUUCGAGCACGUUUGCCCCCUUGCAAAGCUGACGUCAUUUAUAGGCAUUUCACGACUUCCUCAAUAUCCUGGCUAAUGCGCGGACAAUUUCCCAAUGAUGUCUGCCGUCUAGAUGCAGAUCGGGUGGAGGAAGCUUCUCGUUUGAAGCGAGGAAACUGAGGCACACAGAGGUGCAUUUAAGGCAGAGCUCAGCAGCCUUCAGGACACAGGAGUGGGCGGGCUUCUGUCCUGUGGCAUCAAUGUUCACUUCCCUCUUCCAUUUGAGGUGAGCCACGAAAAGACAUCUGCCGUCACGUUCCAGCCACUAGGCAGGACGUCAGCCCCAAAGAUGAGCGUCAGCUUACAGUGGUUCCCGUGUUUUGCACACGUAUCAGGUCCUAGGGUUGCAACAAAAACUAAAGUGUGGAUGACAG